CAGGUGGCCGGUCGGCAUCCCCACUGAAAGGACAGCUGAGGAGAAAGCAGGAGAGAGAGACAGACGUGUAGUGAAUCUAAGCUCUGAGGUGGAUAAAGGGAUGGAAGUGUGGAGGGAGAAACGGGAAGAAGCUAAAAGGAUGGAGGAACGCAAUAAAUCUCUUCUGCUAAAACCCAAAGGGAACCUUUUAUUGAAGAAAAAUAAAUAAGAAAUCAUAUUUUCCGUUCUAGCUUACAUUACUUAUUAACAAAAUGGUGGAGUUGGUGUAUGGCUUUGUCUUGCUGUUAUUGUUUGUAGUACUUAUUUUGCCCUUUUCAAUGUUUUUCAAAAAUAAACUUUAAUGUAUAUCCACAA